GAUGAACGCUGGCGGCGUGCCUAAUACAUGCAAGUCGAGCGAAUGGAUUAAGAGCUUGCUCUUAUGAAGUUAGCGGCGGACGGGUGAGUAACACGUGGGUAACCUGCCCAUAAGACUGGGAUAACUCCGGGAAACCGGGGCUAAUACCGGAUAAUAUUUUGAACUGCAUGGUUCAAAAUUGAAAGGCGGCUUCGGCUGUCACUUAUGGAUGGGCCCGCGUCGCAUUAGCUAGUUGGUGAGGUAACGGGUCACCAAGGCAACGAUGCGUAGCCGACCUGAGAGGGUGAUCGGCCACACUGGGACUGAGACACGGCCCAGACUCCUACGGGAGGCAGCAGUAGGGAAUCUUCCGCAAUGGACGAAAGUCUGACGGAGCAACGCCGCGUGAGUGAUGAAGGCUUUCGGGUCGUAAAACUCUGUUGUUAGGGAAGAACAAGUGCUAGUUGAAUAAGCUGGCACCUUGACGGUACCUAACCAGAAAGCCACGGCUAACUACGUGCCAGCAGCCGCGGUAA
rnacentral:rRNA from 1 species